rnacentral:rRNA from 1 species
GACGAACGCUGGCGGCGUGCUUAACACAUGCAAGUCGAACGGAGUGGCGAACGGGUGAGUAACACGUGGGUGACCUGCCCUGAACUUCGGGAUAAGCCUGGGGAACUGGGUCUAAUACCGGAUAGUGGGGGAGGGGCGCGGGUCCUAUCAGCUUGUUGGUGGGGUAAGGGCCUACCAAGGCGGCGCCGGUGAGCCGGCCUGAGGGGGUGGACGGCCACAUUGGGACUGAGAGACGGUCCAGACUCCUACGGGAGGCAGCAGUGGGGAAUAUUGCACAAUGGGCGGAAGCCUGAUGCAGCGACGCCGCGUGGGGGAUGACGGCCUUCGGGUUGUAAACUCCUUUCACCAUCGACGCGGUAGAUGGAGAAGAAGCACCGGCUAACUACGUGCCAGCAGCCGCGGUAAUAC